rnacentral:lncRNA from 1 species
UAUUGUCAAAUUGGUUUCCAUACAACACCCAGUGCUCAUCCCAAAAGGUGCCCUCCUCAAUGCCCAUCACCCACUUUCCCCUCCCUCCCACCCCCCAUCGACCCUCAGUUUGUUCUCAGUUUUAAGAGUCUCUUGUGUUUUGGCUCCCUCCCUCUCUAACCUUUUUUUUUUCUUCCCCUCCCCCAUGGUCUUCUGUUAAGUUUCUCAGGAUCCACAUAAGAGUGAAAACAUAUGGUAUCUGUAUUUCUCUGUAUGACUUAUUUCACUUAGCAUAACACUCUCCAGUUCCAUCCACGUUGCUACAAAAGGCCAGAUUUCGUUCUUUCUCAAAAAGGCGCAGCUUUAAAAAUAAGGAAACUGUACUUCAUACUUCAAAAGCCUAAGAAUGAUUCCUAUACCCUUUCCAAUCCCACUUUCAGAAAGACUCGAUGCUGUUUCGGUCAAGAGGCCAAAUUUGAAGACAUGAUGCAAUUCUCAAUUUGUUACUGACUCACCUUGCAGCCUAAGACAAGUCACUUAUCUCUGUGCCUUGGGAAGGACUCUGGUGAGUAAUAAACAAAUAAAAAUGGAAAGUCCUCUAUUAACU